rnacentral:rRNA from 1 species
UGCCAGCAGCCGCGGUAAUACGAAGGGGGCUAGCGUUGUUCGGAUUUACUGGGCGUAAAGAGCAUGUAGGCGGACUGAUCAGUCAGGGGUGAAAGCCCGGAGCUCAACUCCGGAACUGCCUUUGAUACUGUCAGUCUUGAGUCCGAGAGGGGGUGGUGGAAUAUCCAGUGUAGAGGGGAAAUUCGUAGAUAUUGGAUGGAACACCAGUGGCGAAGGCGGCCACCUGGCUCGGUACUGACGCUGAGAUGCGAAAGCGUGGGGAGCAAACAGGAUUAGAUA